rnacentral:tRNA from 1 species
AGAAGUUUAGGAUAUACAGUCCGAAGGCCUUCAAAGCCUUAAGAAAACACUUAAGUUUAACUUCUGA